rnacentral:ribozyme from 13 species
UCUUUUUUCGAUUUUUUUUUUUUCGUUUUUCCGAAGACAAGAAAAAAAAAAGAAAAAGAGAUGAAACGUGUGUCCCUCUUGUUCGGUCUUUUGUUGUUAGGAAGCUUUGUCUUCUGUCAAGAAG